rnacentral:rRNA from 1 species
CACCGGCGGCUCGAGUGGUAACCGUUAUUAUUGGGUCUAAAGGGUCUGUAGCCGGCCGGAUAAGUCUCUUGGGAAAUCCGGCAGCUCAACUGUCGGGCAUUCAGGAGAUACUGUCUGGCUCGAGGCCGGGAGAGGUGAGAGGUACUUCAGGGGUAGGGGUGAAAUCUUGUAAUCCUUGAAGGACCACCAGUGGCGAAGGCGUCUCACCAGAACGGACCUGACGGCAAGGGACGAAAGCUAGGGGC